rnacentral:rRNA from 1 species
AGCAGCCGCGGUAAUUCCAGCUCCAAUAGCGUAUAUUAAAGUUGUUGCAGUUAAAAAGCUCGUAGUUGAAUUUCGAGAUCGGCUUACUGGUCGUGCUAUUGUACGUACUGGUAUAAUCGGUUUCUCCUUUCUGACGAACUAUAAUGCCAUUAAUUUGGUGUUUUAGGGAAUCAGGACUGUUACUUUGAAAAAAUUAGAGUGUUUAAAGCAGGCUCACGCUUGAAUACAUUAGCAUGGAAUAACGGAAUAGGACGUUUGAUUCUAUUUUGUUGGUUUCUAGGAUCGACGUAAUGAUUAAUAGGGAUAGUUGGGGGCAUUAGUAUUCAAUUGUCAGAGGUGAAAUUCUUGGAUUUAUUGAAGACUAACUACUGCGAAAGCAUUUGCCAAGGAUGUUUUCAUUAAUCAAGAACGAAAGUUAGGGGAUCGAAGACGAUCAGAUACCGUCGUAGUCUUAACCAUAAACUAUGCCGACUAGGGAUCGGAUGAUGUUAAUUUUUUAAUGACUCAUUCGGCGCCUUACG